GAUGAACGCUGGCGGCGUGCCUAGUACAUGCAAGUCGAGCGAAUGGAUUGAGAGCUUGCUCUUAUGAAGUUAGCGGCGGACGGGUGAGUAACACGUGGGUAACCUGCCCAUAAGACUGGGAUAACUCCGGGAAACCGGGGCUAAUACCGGAUAACAUUUUGAACCGCAAGGUUCGAAAUUGAAAGGCGGCUUCGGCUGUCACUUAUGGAUGGACCCGCGUCGCAUUAGCUAGUUGGUGAGGUAACGGCUCACCAAGGCAACGAUGCGUAGCCGACCUGAGAGGGUGAUCGGCCACACUGGGACUGAGACACGGCCCAGACUCCUACGGGAGGCAGCAGUAGGGAAUCUUCCGCAAUGGACGAAAGUCUGACGGAGCAACGCCGCGUGAGUGAUGAAGGCUUUCGGGUCGUAAAACUCUGUUGUUAGGGAAGAACAAGUGCUAGUUGAAUAAGCUGGCACCUUGACGGUACCUAACCAGAAAGCCACGGCUAACUACGUGCCAGCAGCCGCCGUAA
rnacentral:rRNA from 1 species